rnacentral:lncRNA from 1 species
AGCCAAAAAUGAACAAAGAAAUGAUGAAGAACAGAGCCUGUUUCUUUCUCAGUGGUGUACUCAGAAAAUGGAUGCAAGAGUAGAAGCUGAUCCUCGAGGCUUGCAAAAGUGGGGUUCUUUCUGAAAGUGAAGCCAGCAGCCAAGAGCCACCCUUCAGAAGAUAGAAGGAAGAGCAGCUGCAUGAGUGAUGGCCACAGCAAUGCAUGGGUCCUGUCUGUCCACGUAGUCCUCUCCAUCUGCCCGUAGCUUGCCAGGAAACUUUCUAUAAUAAUACCAAUACAACCAAAGACUAUUAUUCUGAACAGAAAACAAGAAAUACAGCUGGAGCUAUUUCCUAUCUACCUGAUGAAGGGCACUACCAGGCGGUCACUCUGGCUCUGUCCACCGAUGCCUGUGCCCACUUUGUGCGACGUAGCUUCCAUGGAGACAAGAGCAAUGGUAAUGGAAGAAGAAAGUCUGGAUGUACUCUUGCAGAAGCAGAAAGCUUCAUGGAACAAUAUUAAUCUUCUGGUCAUCUCUGUGCUGGUCUAGUUGCCCAUAAAGUUGUCAGAUUGACUUUGGAUUUAAAGCCUGAAAAUGAGUCCCAAGGAAAUCCGUUGACAUGAGGCCCAAGGAAGACAGUUUUUGGAAGGGGCAAGGUAGGAAGGAUGGUUUGGUCACUGUGAGGAAGAGGAGGGUAGAAAAGCAUCAGGACAUCAGAAUCUUUAGGAAGUGGCUACUGAUAAUCAAGCAGAGCUUUCUCCCUGUGGGUCUCUAUCCGUUUAGCGGCUUCUUGUGCUAAGCAACUCAGUGACUGCCCUCUGCUCCAGAUGUGACCUUCAGCCUCCGCUGCUCCUUUCUGCUGGCAAUGCUCAGUGUAAUUUCAGCCACAGAGGAAAGGAGGUGAAGUGAACAUCAGUGGGAGCCUAAAAAGUUAAACAACAGACGUGUUUUCCCAGUGUAGAGAAAAGCUUGCUUCUCCACCCCCAGGACUUUGUGCCCUGCUCACCUGGAAGGUAAGCAACAAGCUGCUGGGGCACGAGAAGCCUGUGAGUGGCUGAGAGCGAUGACGAGCUCAUCCCUUCCUUUAGGCACCUCACCUUCCGCGUCAACCAUUUUGGUGGUUUCUUAGAUUGUUUCCCUGCCUUCUAUUGUCUCUUCUCAUUCAGAGUUCAUUCUGAUGACAGCCACUAAAUUAGUCAUCCUCAGGAAGAGCCUGGGUCAUGCCUCAAACUCUGCAGAGGCUACUGAGGGCUCACUGAAUGGUGCUCAAGCCCCUCACCUGCCCCUCGAGACCUGGUAUAGUCGGGCUCUGCUUCCCUUUCCCCAUCUGUGCUGCUUACACUCCGUUGGACCCUUCAGGUGCAUUCUCUGCCCUGCUGUGGGAUUUGGGGGCUUGGCUUCUACAUGCCUCACUGGGGCUUCCUCACUCUGGCUUUUCACUGGGUUUGGCCACUGACAGAGGGAGGUGGAUGUCUGGAUACUUAUUCCUCCCCUCUCUUCCUGGCAGUCCUUGAUUCUGGCAGUAACCAAGUCUUGUUUCUCUACCCAGGCCAUGACUCACAUCAAGCAACCCCUCUUUCACAGGGUUCUGGUAACUCCACUUCUUUUGCCCCUUCAGAUCCAUAGGUGGAAAUAGCCACAUGCUGUUGCUCAUCUCUGUUGGCUUUGGCAUCCCAGGGUGGAUACUUUACUUUGCCCAUUCCUCUUAAAGAACAGAUUUAUUCAAUAAUUUCCCUUUACUUUCUUGGGUGUGUCACCUCUUUCUUGCUGGAAUCCUGUCUCCAUCCUGUCCUCUCUUGUCCAAGCAAAAGAGCCACUUGCUAUUCCUCGAACAUAGCACUUUCUCUUCUCUGUGACUUUUCAUUUCCCAGCUUUCUUCAUCUAGUCCCAAGGAAACUCAGGUUUGGAGAAUCCUACUCAGUAAUCAGGUCCAGUAAUCAGAUGCUUCAAUUCUCUCUGCAUCUCCCACUAAAUGAUUGUCUAGUCUUUGUUUAAAUAUUUGUAAGGCAGGAAUUCAUUGCCUCUUAAGGCAUCAGUAUUUAUUCAUUCAGUUCGUUCAGUGAAUAUUGUUGUUGCCUCCUACCAUGUGCCAAGUGCUAUGCAUGGUGUCUCUCCUCAAGAAGCUCAAAACAGUGAGGAGAUGAAUGUAUGAAUAAGCAAUUUUGGGACAAUGUGAUAUGGAUUACUUUGGUGUUAUUCAGAAGUGCUUUGAGAGCAUAGACAGCUGAGAUGGGAUGGAGUGGAGUCUUGCUGUAUUGCCCAGGCUCAUCUGAGAUGAAAUGGAGUCUCACUCUGUCCCCCAGGCUGGAGUGCAGGGGCACGAUCUCAGCUCACUGCAACCUCCGCCUCCCGGGUUCAAGAGAUUCUCCUGCCUCAGCCUCCCAAGUAUCUGGGAUUACAGAUGCACACCACCACACCUGGCUAUUCCUUGAUAGGUUUUUAAGCUCUAUGAGGACAGAGUCCUUGUCUUGAUUAUCAUGGAAUCCCCUUUAUUUAGCAUUUUAUGAGGCUGAAAUCAAGGUGUCAGCCUGGCUGAAUUUUUCCCUGAAGGAAAGUUUUUUUUCUGAAGGAAAAGUCCAGUUCCAAGCUCAUUUUUGUUAUUGGCAGAAUUCAAUCCUUUGCAUUUGUAGUAUUGAGGUCCCCAUUUUUUUAGUAGUUACUGCCAGCCAGAGAAGACUCUGCCUUUAAAAGGGUCAUGCAAUUAGGUCAGGACCACCUGGAUAAUCUCCCUUUCUAAAGUUAACUCUGCCAUAUAAGGUGACCUAAUCCUGGGGGGCAAAUCCAUCAAACUCCCAAUCUGGGGGAUUAGGUGGAGCAUGUACACCAGAGGAAGAAGAGGGAAAUCUUGGGGAUAAUCCUAGAAUUCUGGUAGAAAGUGACAUAAAUUGAAAAUAGUAUACAUGAUAUGUUGAAUCAAAAUAGUCACGCUUAAUCAAUGGUUUCAGAAAUCAAGACAGUAAUGAUCCUUAGGGUCAAGGAGGGAGAGAAACAAUAGCAUACAUGAAAAGUAAGUAUUCAGUCAGUGGGUACACACUCAUUGCCUUCCAGAUGCUAAAGAGAACCUAGCCAUGUCAUGCUGGACUUAUGGCCUACAAAACUAUGCACUAAUAAGUGGGAUUUUUUUUUAAUGUUACUUUAAGUUCUGGGAUACAUUUGCAGAACGUGCAGGUUUGUUACAUAGGUAUAUAUUGCCAUGGUGGUUUGCUGUACUUAUCAUCUAGGUUUUAAGCCCCACAUGCAUUAGGUAUUUGUCCUAAUGCUCUCCCUCCCCUUGACCCCCAUCCCCGACAGGCCCCGGAGUCUGAUGUUCCCCUCCCUGUGUCCACAUGUUCUCAUUGUUCAACUCCCAUAAGUUGGAUUUUUUAAAGCUGCUAAAUUUGUGGUAAUUGUUACUCAUCGAUAGAAAAGUAAUACAAGACCUCAAAUCCUGACCAGUCUGUGGGUAGUAAUCUCAUAAAACAAGUUGCCUCAUUAUAUAAACAUUUUGCAGCUACUUUAUUACAGAGGAGUCAUCAG